GACGAACGCUGGCGGCGCGCUUAACACAUGCAAGUCGAGCGAUGAAACUUUAACAGAACCCUUCGGGGCGAAGAUAAAGUGGAUUAGCGGCGGACGGGUGAGUAACACGUGAGUAACCUGCCUUAGACAUUGGGAUAGCCUCGGGAAACCGUGAUAAAUACCAAAUAAAAUCAUAAUGACACAUGUCAUAACGAUCAAAACUCCGGUGGUCUAAGAUGGACUCGCGUCUCAUUAGCUAGUUGGUAGAGUAAAAGCCCACCAAGGGGACGAGGGAUAGCCGGCCUGAGAGGGAGACAGGCAAGACUGGGACUGAGACACGGCGCAAACCGCUACGGGAGGCAGCAGGAGGGAAUCUUCGGCAAUGGAGGAAAAGCUGACCGAGCAACGCCGCGUGAGUGAAGAAGGUUUUCGGAUCGUAAAACUCUGUUGUUAGAGAAGAACAAGGACGUUAGUAAAUGAACGUCCCCUGACGGUAUCUAACCAGAAAGCCACGGCUAACUACGUG
rnacentral:rRNA from 1 species